rnacentral:rRNA from 1 species
UACGAAGGGUGCAAGCUUUACUCGGAAUUACUGGGCGUAAAGCGUGCGUAGGUGGUUUGUUAAGUCUGAUGUGAAAGCCCUGGGCUCAACCUGGGAACGGCAUUGGAAACUGGCUUACUAGAGUGCGGUAGAGGGGUGUGGAAUUCCCGGUGUAGCAGUGAAAUGCGUAGAUAUCGGGAGGAACAUCUGUGGCGAAGGCGACACCCUGGACCAACACUGACACUGAGGCACGAAAGCGUGGGGAGCAAACAGG